GCCUGGGUGGCUCAGUCGGUUGGGCAUCUGACUUCGGCUCAGGUCACGAUCUCACAGUUUGUGGGUUCGAGCACCACAUCAGGUU
rnacentral:tRNA from 1 species